GACAGAGGUGCCGAGCGUUAGGCGGAAUCACUGGGCUUAAAGCGUGUGUAGGUGGAUGCCUAAGUACCUUGUGAAAUCCCACGGCUUAACCGUGGAACUGCUUGGUAUACUGGGUGUCUUGAGCCAGCUAGGGGCUACCGGAACAAAUGGUGGAGCGGUGAAAUGCGUAGAUAUCAUUUGGAACGCUAAUGGUGAAAACAGGUAGCUGGGGCUGUGCUGACGCUGAGACACGAAAGCCAGGGGAGCAAACGGGG
rnacentral:rRNA from 1 species